UUACACGUCUCAGAGAAUACCAAGGAGUGGAUCCUCAUUUUGAUACAAUUGCGAGACAGUACCAUGACAUUGUUAAGAAACUAGAAAACAUGCAGUGGACAAUCCAUCAAGUAGAAAUGGACCUUAAAAGCGCAUGCUUGAGAUCGCUAGAUUCAUCUAUAUAACUGUUUCAUUCACUACUAGUAGUCUAAUCUCUAUCUCUUCCUUUGUUGUAUCUAUUACUAUGAUUUUGUCCUUCAAAUCUCUCACAAAUGAAAAGAACAAACUAGAUUUAUCAGUUCGGUCUGUAACAAAACAAAACCUUAACCAAAUGAAACCAAUGGACAACAAUCAGCUCUUGUCUU